rnacentral:rRNA from 1 species
AGUGAACGCUGGCGGUAGGCCUAACACAUGCAAGUCGAACGACAGCACAGGAGAGCUUGCUCUCUGGGUGGCGAGUGGCGGACGGGUGAGGAAUACAUCGGAAUCUACUUUUUCGUGGGGGAUAACGUAGGGAAACUUACGCUAAUACCGCAUACGACCUACGGGUGAAAGCAGGGGAUCUUCGGACCUUGCGCGAUUGAAUGAGCCGAUGUCGGAUUAGCUAGUUGGCGGGGUAAAGGCCCACCAAGGCGACGAUCCGUAGCUGGUCUGAGAGGAUGAUCAGCCACACUGGAACUGAGACACGGUCCAGACUCCUACGGGAGGCAGCAGUGGGGAAUAUUGGACAAUGGGCGCAAGCCUGAUCCAGCCAUACCGCGUGGGUGAAGAAGGCCUUCGGGUUGUAAAGCCCUUUUGUUGGGAAAGAAAUCCAGCUGGCUAAUACCCGGUUGGGAUGACGGUACCCAAAGAAUAAGCACCGGCUAACUUCGUGCCAGCAGCCGCCAUAA